UACGUAGGGUCCAAGCGUUGUCCGGAUUUAUUGGGCGUAAAGAGCUCGUAGGCGGCUCGGUAAGUCGGAUGUGAAACCUCCAGGCUCAACCUGGAGUCGCCAUCCGAUACUGCUGUGGCUUGAGUCCGGUAGGGGAGCAUGGAAUUCCUGGUGUAGCGGUGAAAUGCGCAGAUAUCGGGAGGAACACCAAUGGCGAAGGCAGCUCGCUGGGACGGUACUGACGCUGAGACGCGAAAGCGUGGGGAGCAAACAGG
rnacentral:rRNA from 1 species